UAUACAAGUGAACACUCCCUUUCUCACAGUUAUUAAAAGUUGCACAAUAACUGUUUUUUAUGAAACAAGUCUCCCGGCUUUACUUGCUGUAUUUCUUGAUGUUGAAAUAUGAAACAGUGCAUUACAACCUGGUUGUUAUGUUCCAGGUCUCUAUAAGUGAAGUUAAAGGUUAGUUUCUAUGACUGAUGGGAACAACUAUCUCUGAAAUUUCUCCAGUAUUCAAUUCAACUUUAUUUAUAAAUCCAACAGGAGUUAUUUUGGGACCCUCUC